ACUGUAACUGGCUGGGAUAAUUAUGCUGUGUCUUGCAGGUUGGCUAUCCAGUGGCUGGGACUUGAAUGUGACCUAUAGCUGGCCUAGCAUUGUCGCCACAGGCAAAGCUUUUAACCCCUUGGUCACCAGACAGCUGAACUGUUGUAACUUUGGCAGAGAAGCCAAACCAGAGUUUACACUGAGCCGUGGCAAUUGUCUGUGUUCCUCCGCGCUCCAAGGGUGAUGAGGAGGAAGAGGAAGAAGAAAAGAGGUGGUGGUGGUGGUGGUGGUGGGGCUUGGUGGGGUUGAAGAAGCGGAGGGGGGGGCGUUUCCUGCCAGCGCAGAGCAGAGUCAAGCCCCCCCUCCCCUCGGCUCCUCAUUAGUAUGCGGCGGCUGUUGCUCAGGUGACACGGCUGCUGGAUUCGGUCCCGACUGCGGGAACAUCAGCAGCGUGGCGGAGAGCGGGAUAGCAGGUAAGGACAAUGAGAGAGAGAGGAGGAGAGAGGGAUGGACUUCUUUUAAGGACGUAACACCCACACACAUGCAUACACUCGUACACUUUACACUGCUGUAAUGCACACACACACACACACACACACACACACACACACACACAUAUUCUCAGGUUCAAGUCCAGCCUCCCUCCCAAUGCCAUAUCUACAGUGAAGGACAGUAAGUGUGUGUUUUCUUGAAUUCAGAUAAGUAACGCUAUCUGCUGAGUUAUGCUAGCUGAGAUGCCGUAGUAUUUGGGGUCGUGCAGUUUUCUCUGUUGAUAAAAUAUUUGACUUGCUGUACGUUUCCAAAAUGCAUUCAUUCACAAAUAAUAGUUUCCUGUAUUUUAUGUGACAGAAAAUGUAAUAAUAGUAGUCUUUACAAUAUCUAUUCCAUACUGUAAAUAGAGUGAUUUCAAUAAAUGUCAAUAAAUGUCGAAUGUGUUCUGUGCUUGGUUAUUUAGAAAUGUAAUGUUUUAUUCCAUGUAAGCAAACAAUGAAGGAAUCCUGCAGCUUCGCCUCAAAACAUUUUCAUUGUUUUCACUUGAGAGGUUUUCAUUCCCCUUGAUAUGUAGGAUAUUGGUUUUGUUGCCAAAGGCAACAAAGAGAGAGGUGUAUUAGACAAAUACUCAUACGCUCUGUAAGUGUGUAUCUUUGUGUGUUUGUGUGUGUGUGUGUGUGUGUGUCAGAGGAAAAGAGAAUACGAGGAGAGGGUAAGAAAGGGAGGAAAAAGAGUGUGUGUAGGUGUGCUUUUGUUUUGCUCUAUUUGUGUGUGUGAGAGAGAGAACUAGAGACAGACUGCGUGUGCGUGUGUGUGUGUGUGUGUGUGUGUGUGUGUGUGUGUGUGUGUGUGUGUGUUUGUGUGCGUUGGGGGAGCAGUGCGGCCAGGCUGCAGAUAUCAUCCAUCUCCCUGUCACCGGCCCAGGGGCUGCUGGGAAAGUGGCAGACAGCUCCCCGGCUCUGACAACAGAGGCUGCAUCCUAAUUUUCCGACACAGAAUGCUUGAAAAACCUGCACCGCUCCUCCCUCACCACCCAGUACGGAAAACCAUUAACCCCGCGAUCCGGGAACAAAGCACAGAGCUCAGCCCAGGCCACCGCUGGCUGCGCGUCCUAUCUGCUCCCAUCAUCCACCAGCAACACUUUGCAUGAACUCCGCUCUAUAAAACAUUCAUAGCACCUCGGAGACUGCCGCGUUAAAGCUCCACAUAUCGAGCAACACCAUCAAACGAGUUCAUUUUUUAAGUCACGUCUAACUAGGAGGUCAUGUUACUGACUGAUACUUGAUGACACUGCAGUGAUUUCAUUUGUGCAUUUUCAAAAUAAAAGUCCUCCUGGCAAUAGCUGUUCUAACUGGAUUACAUGCUUUCUGGUUAGCCAUGACUAAUUGCAUUAUAAAGCUGUUGUCAGACAUUCUAUAGCUUUUGUUAUAUGCACCAGCACUUUUGAUUUCCCAUCUCUCCAAGUGUUUCAAUUUCUCUGGUCUCUGGUCCAAGGAAUCAAAUAAGCACUGGCAUGAGGAUUACAUUAGUUCUCAUUAACGUGUCCUGUGUGUAGCUGUAGGUGAGUUUUUUCCUGCUAAAGUUAUUUGAGUUUGGUAGUUAAUCGUAAGUAAGGAAAUUAAAAAGCCUUCAGAAAACUUUAAGGCACAUGGUUUUCGCAAUCUAAUUAACACAAUGUCCACACAACAUACAAUAGUGAAGAAAUAGUGUAAAUAAACGAGUACAGAUAAAUAUUCCCAUCAGAGAGAAAACAGUAUAUCUGGAAAUAUAUUUACAAUACAUAAAUACACAAAAACUACUGAAAUAGAAUGAAUGAAUGAAUGUGUAUAAUUAUGAUGAGUAAAGCUUUUUUAGAUCAAUUUCAGCUCAAUUCACUCAUUGAUAGAACAUAUAUGAAUGAAUAUUACAUCCCACUGUCAAAAUCUCCGCUGAUAGUAACUCUGUCUCAUCCUAAUGAUGUUUCUGGCUGACUGUCACCUCUGCCUCCUCUUCCCGAACUGUGCAAUAUAAAUAUUUGUUCCUGGUAAAUGAUGUAAUUGUUGGAAAUUUCAUGAUUUUCCCCUCAGAAAACGCCUGUGGAAUAAAACUAAUUCUAAGAAAGAAGUCGAUUUAUGUUUGUUUUUCUUUUCUCUUGUUUGUAUGAAUACAGAGUGAGAUUUUUCUUCCCAUAGCUGAGCAGACCCUGCUAGCAUUUAGCAUUCGUAGGUGCCUUCCUUUGAAUAAAACAGAUAAGACCAUAAGAAUCAUCUGCUCAGUCAUGAAUAAUGUGUCUAAAUUUCUAAAUAUUUAUACAUACAUUAUAAUAAGGUAAUGACAGAAGACUGCAUACCAGAUGGUAAUACACAAUAAAAGAUUUGAGACAAUUCAACAGUUUUUAUUCAAGCUGUCAUGACAUGAGUUUGAUUUUGUCCCAGAUUGGGGCUGGUAUGGGACUGGCUGCUGUCAGGGCUCUAAAGGCUAUGAAUGUAGGAUCAAAGGCCUGCUUUAGAUCUUUGAUUAUUGUUCACAAAUCAGUGGAACAUGCUGGUGGGAUCAAACAUUCAUACUGAACAAACCAUCCACAUGUUGGGUAGGAGGUAAUGUAUGUUAGUCAGCAGCCACUGUAGCCUACACAGAGGAAUUACACUCGUCUGCAUACUUAUGUUAACAAUAAAGCAGAAAACCUACUACUACUAAUGAGCCAGCUGAAUGCAUGUAAGGUUGAAGUGUGACAACAGAAUUUGUUUCAAAGACUCAGUACUACAAGACAAUAUUAUUAUCAAUUAUGUCAAUACAGAAUAGUGAAGGAAUUAACAUUUCAUUGUCAUAAUUAUCUCCUAAUUUAGCAUUUUUAAAGUCCCCCUCCAGUCAAAAAUCAGUGUUUCUUUUUGAUCCCACAGUGUGCUGUCUGAAUACUGUCUGUGCAGAGUUUGACUCUAGAAGGAUGUUUUCACAUUCAUCUGCUGAAAGUGGAAAGUUUCUCUGAGCUCAUUGAACAUCUGAUUUUAAGGGCCGGGGCCUACCAGCAUGAUCACAAAUAGUUAGGAAGUCAGUCCUGGUCCAGUAUCAACUUGUACAGUGUGAUGUAGAAACUUGAAGCCACCAGUGCACAUCCACUGAGAAUGGACUUUACAGUGAAGUAGGAGACAUCUUGUGUCCAGCAGCAAAACAUGUUAUUGUUCCAGGCAGACUAUUUGUAUGUGUCUUAAUAUAUGUUUUGAUGGGAUUUUUAAGAAGUUGUUUUUUUUUUUUUGUACAUUAUUUGCAAGUGGUGUAUAAACAAAUAAUGAAUGAGUGACAAUAAAGGAUAACAAUAUCUUCAUAUUUAAAGCUGCAGUAGGUCAUUUUUAUAAAAAUAACUUUUUUUUAAUUAAAUGUAAAUAUUUGCUGAAACUUUAUCAGUAAAUAAAUGAAACUGUGAAUUAAACUAUCUUUCUCAGCUCUGAUUGGUUGUUUUCGUUCCAGCCCAGCGGAAUCUUGCUAAUACCAUUAAGACUAAAACAAAACCCAGAGAAACCAGAUUUUUUCACAGAUGAUCUGCCUCAUAUACUACUGUCAGGAUAUAGUGAGUUUCAGUAAAUAUGACAAAAAGUUAUUUUUAUAAAUGACCCUGAAUGACCUGCUGCAGCUUUAAUAUAAAUAGAGAAUAUAUAGUAUUGAUCUGUUUUAUUUACUCAUAUGUAGCCUACUUACUUAUAAACACUCUCUGGCAACUAUGCAAUCUCCAUCGGCUGCUGAGGGCCACCAGAUGCAGCUGAAAGCUCCAGAGGAAAUUUAGUACAGUAAGUGGUCCUUGAGUUAAAUGUUUUUUACUAUUCCUAAGCUCAGAAAUGAACCUCUGAGCUCAGUGUGUAUAUUUAAACACGUGUGUGUGUAUAUAUAAAUAAAUGUGCUUAUAUCAGCUUACAAAUACAUUAUAAACAAUUAAUUGUAAAUAUACAGCUCAUAAAUACUAAGUAGUUAAAGUGUUCGAAUUUUACCAAAUCAAAUUCUACUAAGUUGCUGUGUUUUGGAGGGUCACAGGUUAAAAACAACCCAGGUAAGUGGAUUACUGUGAGAUCCUCUUCAGCAACUAUGCUGCAUUCAUGUCAUACGGGUCAGAGAGUAAAUAAGAGCUUCCUGGUAUUUGAGAAAGCCAUUCAGCUGAGCUUUUGGGUCACGAGAACUGAGGCUCAAUGGCGCACUUUGAUUUCUCUUCCUCAGUCCUGGUGUCAAGGAAAGGAAAACAAGAAAAGCAGAAAAUGAUACAUUCAGCUUUAAAUAAACCAAGAGAACUGUAUGACCUCAGUCACUUUUUGCUGACAUGAAAAAAUAGCACACGGACGUACAACUCGCUGGAUUUGUCAUUUGUGGUUUACAUUUCUAUGUUUGGCUUUCUGUUAAACACGAACUCCGUAACCAAGUGCACAUGUGAAAAAGCUUAUGAGGAGAAUCCAAAACCUACAAGUGCAAUCACCAUCUUUAAAGCUUCAAAGUGCUUCAAAUCCGAACCAAUUCUUAGCCACUACGUAAUUUUCCCACAUGACAUGAACGCAGCAUGAUGCCUUUUUGUUUUUGAGCAUUACUACAUGCGGGAAUAAUUGUGCAAGAGGUGCUGUCAUAAUGUCAAAACAACAAAUAAUCAAAUAAAUACAUACACCUAUUAAAUGAACUGCAGUCAAAAGCCGAGUGCCAGCAGUUUACAGCAUUUCAGGAUGAAAUAACCUGCUUCC
ensembl:lncRNA